CCUACGGGGAGCAGCAGUCGAGAAUCAUUCACAAUGGGGGAAACCCUGAUGGUGCGACGCCGCGUGGGGGAAUGAAGGUCUUCGGAUUGUAAACCCCUGUCAUGUGGGAGCAAAUUAAAAAGAUAGUACCACAAGAGGAAGAGACGGCUAACUCUGUGCCAGCAGCCGCGGUAAUACAGAGGUCUCAAGCGUUGUUCGGAAUCACGGGGCGUAAGGCGUGCGUAGGCUGUUUCGUAAGUCGUGUGUGAAAGGCGCGGGCUCAACCCGCGGACGGCACAUGAUACUGCGAGACUAGAGUAAUGGAGGGGGAACCGGAAUUCUCGGUGUAGCAGUGAAAUGCGUAGAUAUCGAGAGGAACACUCGUGGCGAAGGCGGGUUCCUGGACAUUAACUGACGCUGAGGCACGAAGGCCAGGGGAGCGAAAGGGAUUAGAUACCCCAGUAGUC
rnacentral:rRNA from 1 species